AUUGAACGCUGGCGGAAUGCUUUACACAUGCAAGUCGAACGGCAGCACGGACUUCGGUCUGGUGGCGAGUGGCGAACGGGUGAGUAAUGUAUCGGAACGUAUCCAAUAAUGGGGGAUAACUAGUCGAAAGAUUAGCUAAUACCGCAUACGCCCUACGGGGGAAAGCUAGGGACCUUCGGGCCUGGCGUUAAUGGAGCGGCCGAUAUUUGAUUAGCUAGUUGGUGGGGUAAAAGCUCACCAAGGCGACGAUCAGUAGCUGGUCUGAGAGGACGACCAGCCACACUGGAACUGAGACACGGUCCAGACUCCGACGGGAGGCAGCAGUGGGGAAUUUUGGACAAUGGGCGAAAGCCUGAUCCAGCCAUUCCGCGUGAGUGAAGAAGGCCUUCGGGUUGUAAAGCUCUUUCGCAAGAGAAGAAAACUUACCCUCUAACAUAGGGUGAGGCUGACGGUAUCUUGAUAAGAAGCACCGGCUAACUACGUGCCAGCAGCCGCCGUAA
rnacentral:rRNA from 1 species